UGGACCCUGCUGUGUCCGUGAUGUUGCAGAAGGUUUUGAGCCAACACUUUGAAUAGGGGGUCUUGACUUCGUUGGGGGCCGCGAUAGGCUACGGCCAAGGCGAAACCCGAGAGCGGGGCCCCACCUGCGAAUGCAGGUUCAAAACGAUGCGGCACACGGCAUAGCGGGGUGUUC
rnacentral:other from 2 species